rnacentral:lncRNA from 1 species
UUGAUGAUGUUGUACUUUAGAUAAUUUUGCCUGUCUUUCUCGUGAUGACCGCAGCUUUCUUCUAUGUGAUGGUAGUUUAGAUGAUCGAUAUCGACUUGUAAUGUGAAGACAAAGUCGCUACUCGCGGUCUCGAGACUUGUAAUGUUCUAACUUUGUUUGGUAUUUUAAAUUCGGAGACUAAUAUGAUGAAUUGUAUUCGGAGACUAAUCUUCUAUUGUAUUCGAUAAAU